rnacentral:rRNA from 1 species
UACGUAGGGGGCAAGCGUUGUCCGGAAUCAUUGGGCGUAAAGCGCGUGUAGGCGGCUCGGUAAGUCCGCUCUGAAAGUCCGGGGCUCAACCCCGGGAGGCGGGUGGAUACUGUCGAGCUAGAGUCCGGAAGAGGCGAGUGGAAUUCCUGGUGUAGCGGUGAAAUGCGCAGAUAUCAGGAGGAACACCGAUGGCGAAGGCAGCUCGCUGGGACGGUACUGACGCUGAGACGCGAAAGCGUGGGGAGCAAACAGG